UUUCUCGACUAAUCUACGACC
rnacentral:piRNA from 1 species